UAAGGAAUAUUGGUCAAUGGACGCAAGUCUGAACCAGCCAUGCCGCGUGGAGGAUUAAGGCCCUCUGGGUUGUAAACUCCUUUUAUCUGGGAAGAAAUGUACUUUUUCUUGAGUACUUGACGGUACCAGAGGAAUAAGCACCGGCUAACUCCGUGCCAGCAGCCGCGGUAAUACGGAGGGUGCGAGCGUUAGCCGGAUUCACUGGGUUUAAAGGGUGCGUAGGUGGGCAGGUAAGUCAGUGGUGAAAUCUCCGGGCUUAACCCGGAAACUGCCGUUGAUAUUAUUGGUCGUGAAUAUUGUGGAGGUAAGCGGAAGAUGUGAGGUAGCGGCGAAAUGCUUAGAUAUGACAUAGAACACCAAUUGCGAAGGCAGCUUACUACACAAUCAUUGACGCUGAGGCACGAAAGCGUGGGGA
rnacentral:rRNA from 1 species